UACGGAAGGCAGCAGUAAGGGAUAUUGCGACAAUGGGCGAAAGCCUGACGCAGCAACGCCGCGUGCGGGAUGAAGGCCUUCGGGUUGUAAACCGCUUUUCGGGGGGAAGAGGAAGGACGGUACCCCCGGAAUAAGUCUCGGCUAACUACGUGCCAGCAGCCGCGGUAAAACGUAGGAGGCGAGCGUUAUCCGGAUUUACUGGGUGUAAAGCGCGUGCAGGCGGUCGAGUAAGUCGAGCGUGAAAGCUCCCGGCUCAACCGGGAGAGGACGUGCGAAACUGCUGGGCUGGAGGCAGGUAGAGGCGUGUGGAAUUCCGGGUGUAGUGGUGAAAUGCGUAGAUAUCCGGAGGAACACCAGUGGCGAAGGCGACACGCUGGGCCUGACCUGACGCUAAGACGCGAAAGCAUGGGUAGCGAACGGGAUUAGAAACCCCGGUAGUCCAUGCCGUAAACGAUGCAGACUAGGUGUUGAGCGUGUGAAAGCGAGCAGUGCCGAAGCAAACGUGAUAAGUCUGCCACCUGGGGACUACGGCCGCAAGGCUAAAACUCAAAGGAAUUGACGGGGGCCCGCACAAGCAGCGGAGCGUGUGGUUUAAUUCGAGGCUACACGAAGAACCUUACCUGGGCUUGACAUGACGGUUGUAGGGAAUCGAAAGAGGACCGACCCUUCGGGGAGCCGCCACAGGUGCUGCAUGGCUGUCGUCAGCUCGUGUCGUGAGAUGUUCGGUUAAGUCCGGUAACGAGCGCAACCCUCGCCGUUAGUUACAAGUGUCUAGCGGGACUGCCCGUAGAAAGCGGGAGGAAGGUGGGGAUGACGUCAAGUCAGCAUGGCCUUUAUGUCCAGGGCUACACACACGCUACAAUGGCCGGUACAAUGGGUCGCCAACCCGCGAGGGGGAGCUAAUCCACCAAAGCCGGUCUCAGUUCGGAUUGUAGGCUGCAACUCGCCUGCAUGAAGUCGGAGUUGCUAGUAACCGCAGGUCAGCUAUACUGCGGUGAUACGUUCCCGGGCCUUGUACACACCGCCCGUCACGUCACGGAAGCUGGUCAUGCCUGAAGUCGGUGGGCUAACCUCACGGAG
rnacentral:rRNA from 1 species